AAGUUUAACACAUAAACUCGCUCUCUUUAUGUCUGUACACUGUAAAAUACAUCCUCCAGAUUCGUUUAAAAUCUAUAAAUGUUUUUUAUUUUUUAUUUAUUUUUAUUUUUUUUAAAUGCAGGUCAGUGUUGUAUCCAUGAAAAAGGUGUUUGUUUUCCAAACGGCUUUGAGAAGAUGCUAAUCGCUCCUUUGUGCUGUUGUGGGCGUGGCUUCCAAAGCAGCCCGUUCUCCGAUUGGUCAAACAAAAGCCUGCUGUUCUGCUAUUGGUCCAUACUUGAGAGGACGUCGCGCACGUAUAAAAACGAAACUGCUUUCAUUACGGAUCUGCAGGUCCGUGCUUAAGAAUCUCGGAGCCAAUGGCUCCCGUUACACCAACAUGGCGGCCGGACCAAGCCAGUUUUCCUCGCUGUUUUCUAUGAAAACAAGUGAAAAAGUAGGAGGGUAGCAGCAGCACAACAUCAGCGUCACAUGAUUCGUAAAGCCAGGCUGCCCUGUUCCAAUAUGGUGGUCAGCUUGGCGGAGCUGCGUCUCCCGUUGAUCAUAUCACUUCUAUGCGGGUUCGGAACCUGCAGCAAGGAAGAACCGCAGGUUUUCGGGCUGCGCCUGGAGGACGCCAGCGAGCGGGUGUACAUGCGUGAGCGGGUCGUCGUAGCUCCGCACGGGUCCACUUUCAAGCUCAGAUUGUUUGGGUCCUACCUGGCCAAGGAGAGCUGGCCGUGGGUCGCGUUCGCCGCCGCUGGAGGCGGUUCGGAUGACCCGUGCACGCAGGAGGACCUCCGCAAGUCCGCUGCGUUCAGGGUGCUUGGAGAGUUCGGACCGGACGAGGAGAAUAGCGGGCUCAUAGAGGUCCAAACCGAGAAUGCAUCAUCCAAAUCGGAGAAUAAGAAAGCAGAGCCUGUAUUCCAUUAUGUGUGUGUCUUAAAGGGCCAGGCAUGGGUGACGUUUGGAUCGGACAAGUUGCUUAUAAAGGACCCGGAUGCACCAUCCGAUUACAUUCCACUCUGGGGGCUGAUUUUGGUUGUUGUGGUGCUGGUUUUGAUUUGCAGUGUGGUCAGAUGCCUGAAUCUGAGUUUGCUGUGGAUGGAUCCAUUGGAGCUGUAUGUUCUGCUCAGCUGUGGUUCCGAAGACGAAAAGCGGGCAGCCAAGCACCUCAAGCCCAUUAGGAGGCGAGGAAAUGUUCUGGUUUGCUCGCUGUUGUUCAUUUGUGCAUUGGGUCAUUCGGUGCUUGGUGUGCUGUUGUACCGCCUAUAUGGGUCCAUCUUACCUGCGGUGUUCACUAGUGGCUUCCUAAUAUUUGUUCUUGCAGAGUUGGUACCCCAUAUAAUAUGUUCUGGCUAUGGUUUCCAAAUGGCACCAGGUUUGAUAUGGCUGGCCCAGAUCUGUCUCAUUUUGACGUGUCCGCUCUCUUGUCCUCUUGGGCUCAUUUUGGACCUGGUCCUACGCCGUGAUGUGAGCACCUGUGGCAUCCGUGAAAAAACCAUGGAAAUGAUUCGGACUAGUGUGAACGAUCCGUAUAACGAAUUCGUCAAGGUGGAGUUCAGCAAGGGUGCUCUCAGGACCAAAACUGUGGAGGAUAUCUUGACACCCUUGAAAGAUUGUUUUAUGCUGCCCUCCACGGCCGUGCUGGACUUUAGCACUAUGUCAGAGAUCAUGCAGAGCGGAUAUACUCGGGUCCCUGUGUAUGAAGAGGAAAGGUCCAAUAUUGUAGAGAUCCUGUAUGUGAAAGACCUGGCAUUGGUUGAUCCAGAAGAUCGCACCCCCAUGACCACCAUCACAAAGUUUUACAAUCAUCCAUUGCAUUUUGUUUUUAAUGACACCAAGCUGGAUGCAAUGCUGGAGGAAUUCAAAAAAGGAAACUCCCACCUGGCAAUCGUUCAGAAGGUGAAUAAUGAAGGAGAAGGAGAUCCAUUCUAUGAGGUUCUCGGACUGGUCACGCUAGAGGACGUUAUUGAGGAGAUCAUCAAAUCUGAGAUCCUGGACGAGUCUGAUGGUUACAUGGACAUGAAGGUGAAACGUCCAGCAGCAACGCUGGAGAUUCCCCUGGAGCCCCGCAGCGUGCAUGAGGAGUUCUCUAUAUUUAAACCGCCAGAGGGCGAGCCGAAGAUACGCACCUCUCCUCAACUGCUGCUGGCCACCCACCGCUUCCUGUCCAGAGAGGUGGAACAUUUCUGCCCACAGCGUGUGUCGGAGAGAGUUUUAUUUCAUCUGCUGCGGCACCCGAGUGUCAACCAAGAAGUGAAGUUUGACCCAGGAAACCGACUUAGUCCAGAUCAUUACCUCUACACACGGAACCACCCUGUGGACUAUUUCAUUCUGCUGCUGCAGGGUCGUGUGGAGGUGGAGAUUGGGAAAGAGGGUUUAAAAUUUGAUAAUGGCGCUUUCACCUACUACGGCGUCUCGGCGCUCACAGCCCCCUCCUCAGUCCACCAGUCUCCGGUCUCAACACAGCGUCAGUCCCCCAGAGACCCCUUUGAGCUGGCUGACGCCACCAGCCCGUCUAGCUACUGUCCCGACUACACAGUUCGAGCCCUCACGGACCUACAGUUCAUAAAGGUGACCCGUUUGCAGUACCUCAAUGCUUUGAUGGCCUCCCGGGUGGCACAGAGUCCUGAGCCCCCUGAAAUAAAGAUCCUGCCCAACAGUCAAACAAAACUCCUGAACGAAAAAAACACUAUGCAAGAGUUUCAGCUUCACUUUUCAUUCUUUGACGCAAUUGACAACUACUGUUAGUGUUCUUUGCAUGAGGUAAAUGCAAGAGCAAUCUUUUGCAUGAAAAGUUAAGUAUGAAACAUGCACAAUAACCCCAUCAGCAGCAUGUUGAUACAUCACAGAGCGGAAAAACAGUUUCAAAUGCAUUACUGUCAAGAGCAUCUUUUUUUGCUUUUUACUGCCACCCUUUUGCAAAGUAACCCUUUUCUGUAUUAAUGCUAUCUGUUGGCACCUCCACAUUAAACUCUCAGACAGGAUUUAAAUGUCCAGGUGGCGAUAUGCGUGAAGAAUUUGAAAUCGAAGAAUCGCCAAAAGUCGUAUCACUUCAGAAGAUAUGGAUUUAACCACUGGAGUCGUAUGGAUUACUUUUGUGCUGCCUUUAUGUGCUUUUUGGAGCUUCACAGUUUUGGUCACAGUUCACUUGCAUUGUUUGGACCUACAGAGAUGUAAAUGUUCAGCAGGAGAAAGAAAGUCAUAUACAUCUGGGAUGGCAUGAGGGUGCGAGCAAGAGCCAGGAAUCUAGGUCAGAGGAGGAGCCUCACAGCCAGAGAGGAGCUUUUUGACCUUCGAGCUAACCUUUCUCCAGAACUCAUGAGGAUUUUAUUAUGACAACUAACUUGUUUUUUGUCAUCUUAAAGGGAUAGUUCAACCAAAAAUAAAAAAAAAAUUGUCAUUUACUCACCUUCAUGUUGUUCCAAAUCUUGCAUGGAACACACACAAAAAAGGACAUUUUAGGCAAUUUACUUCACUGUAUGGUAAAAAGUUACAAUGAAAGUGAAUGGUGACUGAGACUAACAUUCUGCCUAACAUCUCCCUUUGUGUUCCACUUAUUUGCAGGAAACUGAUUUUGAUGUGGAAAGUUGGAGUUUUUCACUUAACAGACUUUGUCUCGCAGUGUUAUUACAUAUGGUUUAGAUGCAGGGGCAUAGCAAGCAUUUACUGGGAGGGGACAUGCUCCCCUCAUGUUUAAAAAAAUGUCUACAUUGGUCCCAUAAAUAAUCAUGCUUUUUUAAAGACCCAUGCCUUAAUGUUUUGUACCUACGCCCCCUUGGGAAAGUUUCAAAACUUCCAAAAGCAUAAUUUUGAAGGCGACAUAAAAAAGUAACCAUGCUUACUGCUGCAACCUGGUCUCAUAAAAUCACGUUACUAUACCUAUAUCUUGUAAAAUGUAUUUUUACGUGGCUCAUUGUACAUACUGUGGAUUUUUUCUUGUAAAAUGAACGCUAGAGGCACUUAAACAGUGGCUUUUGUUCACUUUCACACAAAUCAGGAAUAAAAUAGCAUGUAGCUUAGCUUAUAUCGCAUUGCACUUGUAAUGCAAAGGAUUGGGAUACAAGUCCGGAAGAGCACGCGAGUCGGCACAUGAGCUGAAAGUGUCAUAGAAGCACCACAAAAUGACUCGGUUGCUUCAGAAAUUGUUUUUCAUCUCACCUUUGCUUUUAUGACACUAUCAGUAAGGUUUAGGUUUCAGGUUUAGGGUAGGGAGCUCAGUUUUGUUGACUUAAAACUCCACAGAGCAUUAAACUUAACAUUUAACGAACUUUUAGUGCCACACAGUGGACAUAUCGCGUUUAGAAAUGCCACGAUACGUGUUAUGAACCACAUAACGUAAUUUUGCAAAAAAGCCGCCACAGUUGCACAAUUUGGAUUUCCGAGUGCAAUCCAAAACCCGUCCAGUUUUGCGAGACAGAUGCGAGGGCACUGACGUUUGCACAUUGAUAUGUACACUACGAUUAAGUCUAUGAUCUUGUUAUUCACUAUGUCAUGCGGUACGUCCGAAACAACCAUGCCUCCUUGUUAGAAUAUUCACAGCAUGCCUGCAUUUUGAUUCUCUAUUUGAGAAACAUUUCAAUAUUUGGUGCCUAAAUUCCUUGCAUGACUGUAGCUAUCUAGCUAACCAUAUCAGCGUAAAAUAUCGCAAACCUUUUCCAUACCAACACAGACAGCCCAUCCCCUUGAUAUAGUCUGGAAAAUACAUCUUAGCAAUACUGAAAAUCCCAGUAUUCAAGGUUGUAUCAUAUUUUUAAGAUGGCAUAUAUGGGUAAUUAAGCCUAGAAGCUACUCUACAGCUCUUAUUUUGCCAUUACAGGGUGUUUUGUUAUUGCCAAUCCUCUAACCGUUCCAUUGGCUUUUGCAAGAACAUUUGGAAAUUCUGAGUUUAAACAUUCUUAGUAGCUUUGAGUUUUUAAAAUUACAUUCCAGCCUACUUUGUUUCUAAACAAACAAGAAAUUAAAGCCUUCCUUUUUUCUGUUAUAUUGAUGCCUGAUUCAGAGAGUCCUGUAACGUUGUUUUUUUUAGAAUAUUUCGGAUUCAAUACAAGUUUAGCUCAACUGACAGCAUUUGUGGCAUAAUAUUGAUUUCCAUAAAAUUAACUGAAUUUCUUGACUUUUCCCUCCUUUCCAUUAAAAAAGUAACGAUCUGGGUCACAGUGAAGCACUUACAAUUGUAGUGAAUGGGGCCAAUCCAUAAACGUUAAAACACUCACUGUUUCAAAAGUAUAGCCACAAGACAUAAACAACAUGCAUGCUAACAUGAUUUUAGUGUGAUAAAAUCGCUUACUAACCUUUUCUGUGUAAAUUCUUAUUUAAUUUUACAUCGUCGUUGCCAUUACGACAUAACUGCGUAAACCCUAAAAAGACUAAAACGAUGAUUUAAACAGAUUUACAGCUCAAAUAUUACCCGAGUUUAAACAGAAAAAAUAAAAUGUGCUUUUAUAACAUUUUAAGCUUCACAUUUCUGCCUUUAAACCCUCCAAACAUUGGCCCCAUUCACUUCCAUUGUAAGUGCCAACUUUUUUUUUUUUUUUUUUUUAAAGAAAAGGAGGGAUGUCGAAAUUAUUUUUCAUGAUAAAUCAACAUUAUGCCACAAAUGCUGUCGAGUGGGCUUAAUAUGUAUUGAACCCAGAAUAUUCCUUAAAGCAGUUACAUACAAUUGUGCUUAUAACCCAUCAGCUAACGUUAACGAUAAUCUAAAAAUUACCAUUUACUGCAAGAACAGUAUGUGAACCCAAGUAAAUAUUUUUUCUGCUGUUGAAAUAAGUUGUACUGUUUGUUCUGUUGUAAAAGUAAUUUUCUAUGGAAAUAAAUUAAUGAAUGUAUAUUAUAAAAAAAAAAAUAAAAAAAAAACAAUCCA